GGCAAGUCCCCUUUAAAAAUGCAAGAGAAUAGCACCUCAUGAAGCUGAAAGAUCUAAUUCCAGAAAGGAAGCACUGUGACAAAGGGGAACCAGUUAUUACAUUCAGCAUAUCUACAUUUGAGUUUUAUUUGAAAUAUUCCACUGCAGGUAUCGUAUGAUGUCAACGGAUUUUGUGAGCGCAACCGAGAUGUCCUCUUCACCGAUUUGAUAGAGCUCAUGCAAACCAGUGAAUUCCCCUUCAUUCAAAUGCUGUUUUCAGAAAAUCUACAGAAUGAGAAGAAAGGCAGGCCAACUACUGCAAGCAUGAAGAUUAAG